GUUGGGAAUGAUGAGAACUUACCUCAAGUUAUCAAAGGCGGUGCCUAUGCUGAAAUGUAUCUUUUGCACGUCAGUCUGAUCCCAUU